GCGGGCGUAGCUCAACGGCAGAGCCCCAGCCUUCCAAGCUGGUGACGCGGGUUCGAUUCCCGUCGCCCGCUCCA
rnacentral:tRNA from 1 species